UAGGGAAUCUUCGGCAAUGGGGGCAACCCUGACCGAGCAACGCCGCGUGAGUGAAGAAGGUUUUCGGAUCGUAAAGCUCUGUUGUAAGAGAAGAACGAGUGUGAGAGUGGAAAGUUCACACUGUGACGGUAACUUACCAGAAAGGGACGGCUAACUACGUGCCAGCAGCCGCGGUAAUACGUAGGUCCCGAGCGUUAUCCGGAUUUAUUGGGCGUAAAGCGAGCGCAGGCGGUUAGAUAAGUCUGAAGUUAAAGGCUGUGGCUUAACCAUAGUACGCUUUGGAAACUGUUUAACUUGAGUGCAGAAGGGGAGAGUGGAAUUCCAUGUGUAGCGGUGAAAUGCGUAGAUAUAUGGAGGAACACCGGUGGCGAAAGCGGCUCUCUGGUCUGUAACUGACGCUGAGGCUCGAAAGCGUGGGGAGCAAACAGGAUUAGAUACCCUGGUAGUCCACGCCGUAAACGAUGAGUGCUAGGUGUUGGGUCCUUUCCGGGACUCAGUGCCGCAGCUAACGCAUUAAGCACUUCGCCUGGGGAGUACGACCGCAAGGUUG
rnacentral:rRNA from 1 species